rnacentral:rRNA from 1 species
CCUACGGGUGGCAGCAGUAGGGAAUAUUGCUCAAUGGGGGAAACCCUGAAGCAGCAACGCCGCGUGGAGGAUGAAGGUUUUCGGAUUGUAAACUCCUUUUGUUAGAGAAGAUAAUGAGUGUAUCUAACGAAUAAGCACCGGCUAACUCCGUGCCAGCAGCCGCGGUAAUACGGAGGGUGCAAGCGUUACUCGGAAUCACUGGGCGUAAAGUGCGCGUAGGCGGGAUAGCAAGUCAGAUGUGAAAGCCUAUGGCUUAACCAUAGAACUGCAUUUGAAACUGUUAUUCUAGAGUAUGGGAGAGGUAGGUGGAAUUCUUGGUGUAGGGGUAAAAUGCGUAGAGAUCAAGAGGAAUACUCAUUGCGAAGGCGACCUGCUAGAACAUAACUGACGCUGAUGCGCGAAAGCGUGGGGAGCAAACAGGAUUAGAUACCCCGGUAGUC